rnacentral:ncRNA from 1 species
AUGAAUUCGAUGACGAGAACGAGUAAUUAGGCACCUCUUAUCUACAGAGAGUUGACAAUAGCUGAAAGUCAAUGGUGAGAAGCUUAAUGAAAAUCAUCUCCGAGAAGCAAAGUUGAACGGUAACUGGUAAACUUUGACGGUCUCCAACCGAUAUCUUGGACGCGUAUGAUGGUACGUAGUGCUAAUUAGAAAAAAACCGCUACGAUGGUUUUUU